GUUCGCUACUUUGUAGUGCACACAUUUCCCACGCGUAGCGCAAGACACCUGUAGCAAAAUUCAUUGCCAUGCCAUGUUAAAGUUACAGUUAUUCAUUAAAGUUGGUAGAGAAUCGCAUGGUGAAAUAGUUCUCGUCGGUUUGACAAUGGUAUGAAAAGUCGUUUGGAGCCAACAGCGUUUCUGGCACUCCUGUCAGGCAAGCCCUAAUCCGCAAUUAACAAUAAUGUAUGGUGGUUAAAAGAAAAAAAUACGUGUUAAAAACAUUGUAAACAAAGAAAGCGACUUCUUCAAAACCACAUAUCUAGUUUUUUGUGCUCUUUGAGAAGUUUUAAACGGUAACAAGAUUCGUGUUACCUUUCUGAAGGCUAUAUUUGAUUAGCUAUUUGAAAUUAUUUGUCUAGUUUACAGCAACGUUUGUGGUUUCAACCCACAGAACGGUGAAGAUUUAUCAAAGAGAGUCGAACAGUGAAUCGGUGAUUAAGCUGAGGCUGAUUGUUUGAAACAGUAGCGGUGCCAUACAGACAAAACGGUGGACAAAGCGAUACAAGAUAGUUGUUUAACAGUUAUAUAUAUCAUGCAUGGGUGUAUUCAAUCAUUGAACUGUCUAUGUUAUAGAAUCAUGUAUAUGCAUGGCAAUAGAAAUACUUUUGUUUGGUGUGUAUAUAAAGAUGGCGUACUAAUCAUCCUUGCUAUUUACUAACUAAAAGCUGAAUUACGAAACCAAUUAGUCGAAAAGCAACCAAGAGUACCUCUGGCUGUUAUAGAGGUAGCUUAUCAGUGAAGCAAUAUACUUUUCUUGGUAAAGUUUGGCGGAUUUUUCACAUCGCAAACCAAUGUUUUGAUUUUGUAUUGAUGUAAUGGUUGUUUUAGUUCGGUAGCUGUGCCUGUGAUAUGGUUUACUUUAGGAACCAAAUUAGGUCUUUGGCUAUUGAUGAUAAACGAUCUAUCGACGUCUUCGAUUGACGCUUGGAAAUUCGUAGAUGAUAUGUCAAUUUCAGAGAAAAUAUAUAAGAUGACUGCGAGCGUCAUUCAACAAUCAGUCCGGGAAGUCCAAGUCAGUUUGGACUCGUAAAAAUCUGGCCGAACUAAACGAGGACAAGUACAAUGAAAUGAGGAUCUCCUUUACUCGUAAACGAACGGAAGGAACCAUUUGGCUCUCAUGUCCUGGUCAACAAUAAGGAGAUUGACAAACUCAUUCCUAUAAGGAGAGUGAGCGUCCAUAUUCACUAUAUACGAACACGUAACCUGCAGCUCAUUGUUCCAACCUGUCGAUCGAACUGAUCGCUUCAAAAAUUCCUUCGUAGUUCGUCAUAGCAAACAGUUUACAAAUGAUUGAAAUGAAAUCAUGACUUCCAUA